UGGUGAGAAAGAAUUGACAUGCAUUUCCUU
rnacentral:piRNA from 1 species